GGAAAGGCGUGCGAUACAGGGUGACAGCCCCGUACACAAAAAUGCACAUGCUGUGAGCUCGAUGAGUAGGGCGGGACACGUGGUAUCCUGUCUGAAUAUGGGGGGACCAUCCUCCAAGGCUAAAUACUCCUGACUGACCGAUAGUGAACCAGUACCGUGAGGGAAAGGCGAAAAGAACCCCGGCGAGGGGAGUGAAAAAGAACCUGAAACCGUGUACGUACAAGCAGUGGGAGCCUCUUUAUGGGGUGACUGCGUACCUUUUGUAUAAUGGGUCAGCGACUUAUAUUCUGUAGCAAGGUUAACCGAAUAGGGGAGCCGAAGGGAAACCGAGUCUUAACUGGGCGUUAAGUUGCAGGGUAUAGACCCGAAACCCGGUGAUCUAGCCAUGGGCAGGUUGAAGGUUGGGUAACACUAACUGGAGGACCGAACCGACUAAUGUUGAAAAAUUAGCGGAUGACUUGUGGCUGGGGGUGAAAGGCCAAUCAAACCGGGAGAUAGCUGGUUCUCCCCGAAAGCUAUUUAGGUAGCGCCUCGUGAAUUCAUCUCCGGGGGUAGAGCACUGUUUCGGCAAGGGGGUCAUCCCGACUUACCAACCCGAUGCAAACUGCG
rnacentral:rRNA from 1 species